CUUGCCCCCUGCAUCUGUCUCUUCUCUAGUCGAACAAUAAGUCAACAACCCACAUCUCCACAUCCAUUUAGUCUACUUGCAGCUGAACAAAAACCUGAACAAAACCCCUUGGCUUCUCUCUUCACUUGCAGCAGAAAGAGAGGGCUCCUCUAUUAGAGAAAAGGCGGCAAGGUUUCGCCGUUGUUUGUGGUCCAUCUCAGCUUUCAGGACCUACGUUGUUGUUGCCUUUGGCUUGCCCUUUCAAGAUAGAUAAUCGGGAAGAUCCUACAUCAAUUGAAUCAAAUCCUUCAAGUUUGGAACCCAAUUCUGUGCCUAUUCCAGUUCCAAUUGCUAAUUCUAGUACAAAUAGCAACACUGAAAGUGAAGGUAAUCCAGCUUCUAGAUUUAAUAAAAGAAAAAUAUUUUAAAUUUGGGACCACUUUAAGAAACUAGAUGGUAAUGUUAAGGCUCCUAGGGCUGCAUGUAUGUAUUGUGGAAAAGACUAUGCAUGUCAUACUAUACUUAAUGGGACUAGUAACAUGUGGAGUCAUCUAGGUGUAUG